GAAAUUAAGUGCGCGGGCAUGCGCAUUUAGAUAGUAAAGUGCGAGCAAACAAAAAGCGAGUAUUUUUAUAAUAGAAGAUAUAUUUCGAAUCUUUUCGUAAACCUAUACAAGAGCUAUUAUGUGCAUACGCAUAGCUGUCCCUAAUCUUCAAGUGAUAGACUAGAGGGAAGGUAGCUACUCUACAGCACCCACCGCAAACUCUUGUCGAACCGAAUGGUGGGAUAUGACCGUCAUUCUUAGAUUUUCGGGAACGGGACGAGAAUCAAGAACUCUCGGAGUCACGGUCUGGGCAAACUAAAAUCUCGGCCACGCCCGGUCUACUGAAUUAGUAGAAGGUCAUCAAGCUGAAAGAACAACAACAACCUGCGAUCACCUUAAUUGGGCGGUGUCCUGGGGCUUGUUGACUGGCUUCCUCCGACCCCGAAUACCAAACGUGUCCUCCUCCCCCAUCUGGAUACGCGUUUCUCGAUGUCCUUGGAGUUGGCCGCGGGUUGAGGUCAGACUAGCAAGGAGAGCCUGGGGCUUCUUGAUGCUGGAAAGACCUUUUUCGUUGCGUAUGAUGGAUAUCAACAUGAAAGUUACUAUCAUAUGUGGAAUAAACGUAAGUCUUAUAUCAUAAGAUAUUCUUUAAG